ACCUAGAUAAACAUUAUUCAAGGGCUUGUCAUUGCUCUUAGGAUAAAAUAAUCUUUCAGUUCCCAUUACCAACAUGAUUCUCCGUACCUUGGCUCAAGUCUCCAGGCUCAUCUGCCCCAUCCAAGGUUCCAGGACCAUCAUAGAAGAGUGGCAGAAAGAAUACAGAAGCUGGAAGAUAUGGUGGAGAACUGAGAAAUGCUGAUAUGUAGAUUGGACAUGACUGCUACACCUAUCAACCAACUUAUACUGACUAUCAUUACCUACACAGGACAUGCACAAGGCUUUGGGCAGAUAUCCCACUGAGAACUCUAAAGCACCUUUCAGAAAGCUUCCUUGAGGGCCCAGUAAGCACGUGACUUGGUUAUGAGUAUUGACGUCAGGUCCUCACACUUGAGAGACAAACAUGGCACUGACUAAGCCAUCUUCCAAAUCCAUGCUUUGAAGUCAGCAAAAAAUUAUGUGUGUUUAGCACACCAAUACCAGCAAUGUUAUUGAAAGAGGAACAUCAGAGAAAGCCAAGAAGAGAACAUAAAGCCUUCGGAGAAACAGUAGGAACAGGAUCCCCAGCACAAAAGGAUGUCAAUCAACAAGCACCUCUGAAGCCCAUACCCCCAACCUAGGCACCUACCCUCCAUGUGACUUUUAGUUCUCAGAUUUCUACCAUUACCUUUGGAAUAUUUUCCAACAUUUAUUUCCUCUAUAGCACAACCUUCCUAAUGCUGUAACAUUUUAAUGCAGUUCAUCAUGUUGUGUUGACCCUCCCCCAACCAACAACCAUAAAAUCAUUCUUUUGCUACUUUGCAAUUGUAAUGUUGCUACUGUUAUGACUCUCAAUGUAAAUAUCUGAUAUUCAGGAUAUAUGAUAUGAAACCCUUGUGAAAGGGUUGUUAUAUCUCCCAGAGGGGUCUCAAACCACAAGUUGAGAACCACUAAUCUAGUGAGGGAGAGUCUGUCCCAAUUUUAUUCUUGUUCCAAGUCCCAGGUGCCAUCCCAAUUUCAGACAUACAGAAAGACAACAAAUAUAUGCUGAACAUGUGUUGAAUGAAACUCCAAAUGCUGUUAACUUAAGUCACAGUAAGACCAUUAGCACUUAUUUGUACAUUUGAUUUAAUCAUAGACAGUGUUGAGGAGCUAGACAUAACUGGCAAAAUAUAGACAACUUCAAUGACACAAUUUUUUUUCUUAUUUUAAAUUUGACUUAGAUUGACAGAGAAUAAGGUUGGGGCCAGAUGGAUGUGGGAGUUGGGGGAAGAGAUAGCUCUCUCUCUCUCUCUCUGUAAGUCACCAAUCAAAAAAGAAUGAUUGCCAUCUUACAUAUAAUCCUGUUUAAUUCUUGACAGGAACUAAUUGUAGUGUAACGCUAACUUAUACACCCAGAGUAUUUAGUCCAAACUUUUCAGUAUGAAUUUUAGCAUAUUUUUUCCUAUUAUAUUCUACCCUCGCCAUUGUCUGUGUCCUUGAGCAAAUGAAACUGAAACAUCAUGUCUCCUAGUGAUAGCCUUACUCCAUCCCUCACAUACCAUGCUAGUUUCAGCACGUCUUAGAUGAAAUGUACUUUCUCUUCCUCUUUUGUUAGACAACACUUCUAUGUUUUGAUUUCUAAUUCAAGUUGCAACUACUCCAAGAAACCUUCCCAAUGGGGAAAAUAUUACUUGAAUAUGUGUAUGUGUGUGUUGUGGAAUAUUCCUUUACACUCCAUGAAGAUGUGUCACUGUGAUUGUUUAAUAAAAAGCUAAAUGGCCAAUAGCUAGGCAGGAGGUAGGUGGGACUUUUGGACACAGAAGACACGGAGAAGAAGAAAGAAGAGUCGCCAGCCAGAUGGAGCGGAAGCAAGAUGGGCAAUACAGAGUAAAGAGUCAGAGUUUCAUCACCGAAUCAGUAGCAUUUAUGAAAUGUACCACAUCCUAUACACCAUGCAGCAUGUCAUAGGGUCUCAAGAAACUUUUCCAAACAGUAAACUCAUGUCCAGAUUCAUCACAAGCCACAUUAUCCUCAUGAAAUGGCAGAAGACACUAGUUUGGUCCAAGGUUCUCCAAACAAAGUUAGUGGAUACAAUGUAGAGAAGAUAUAAGUUAAUUGUGAAACCUCAAAUAAAGGAUUUAUUACAGAGAAUGAAACUCUGUGAUGAACAAAAAAGAAACCUGAAAUGUGGAAGAUUGGCACAGAUAGGAGUGAGAGACUGAGAGAGGAGGGAGAGCGAGAGAGAUGGGGGAGAAGAUGAAUCAACUCAUUAAGCACAACUGAGUGAAGUCUGCUCCCAAAAUGAAUCUGGGACUUUUGGACAACCAAUAUCUGUGAGAUUUCUUUCAGUGGAGGUCGAGCCCUGGGGAUCAGGUUUCUAUGCUAGUACCUCCGCCUGAUCUGCUGGAACUUUAAUCUCAGUGGAGCAGCCAUAUGAAAAAGGACAGCCUCAUCUACUGGCCUUGGGGCUGAACAUCACCUAUGGUCAUAUCAGGAAGGCUCAGCAUACUUCCCAGACAGAGAUCAAUCAUUUCCUUACUCCCUCCUACUACUUCCUCAGCCUGAAAUCUCAUUUUAAAUUAUGAAACCAAAACCACCAGUCCAGGACUGUCUACUAGAGUAUGGACAGCCUAUGAGGGGAUACAUCUCUGAAGAAGACUGACUUUCCCUGCCAUCAAUUGCCAACAUCAUCUCAGUGAGGAGAUUUCCCUAACUCCUCACUGUCAAUACUGGGAUUUUGGCAGGCUUGAUCUUCUGUAAACCUUGUGCAUGCAGUCACAGCCACUGUGAGUUCAUGUGUUCAAGGGUUCUGUUAUGACCAGAAAAUUAUGUUUCACUGAAGAUGUCUGCCACCUCUGGCUCUUGAUCUCUGAGCCUUGUAAGGAGGAAGGGCAAUAAUCAAAAGAGUUGGGGCAGAGAAGUGGUAGGGGCUAUGGGGAACAAAUGGAGGGAAGAAAAUGAGACGUAGGUUUAAUCAAAAUAUG